CUGGCUAGGAGUGAAGAAGGUUCUUUUUUUCUGGAUAUUGCUCCUUGUGGUGUUUCCUGUGAGCCUGCUACACUGUUGUUCAUACCAACAGAAAAUGGAGGAUGAUUCAAUUUGCAGUUUCGUAAGCUGUGCAAUUUGGACAUCUUCAUAAGGAGACAGAUGAGGAGGUCUCAGAGGGUGAUGUUGGACAAUUGCUCAUCUGCCCAGAGGAUUCUCAUGAGUCAACGAAAGGCCCUGGUAAAUACAUAAUAGCGUUGUGAUCUCCUUCUCAACAUCAGAACAGGCCAUUAUCAUACCUUCAGUAUGUUCCCGUUCCAAAAUUUCUAUCCAGCAAACCUGCUUUCCUGUACUCUCAUCAGGAUAGUUUCCUCAUUAAAUUCUUGUACCAACAUUGUAUCUUCACAGAUCUGUUUAUUUCCUUUUUAUUUUAACUGCCAAAUUCUACCUUUUUCAAUUUUUUUUUUCUUUGAAUAUAGUGUUUUGCAGUCUUUUACAUCUUAACUGCUGACCUCAUCCUUAGUUGUAACUAACUCCUCAAAAACUAGAAUAGCUUCCUCUUAUGUCUUAUUCACAAAACUAGAACUAUUCACGCUCUUCAUGAACUUGUCAUGAACUUCAGCAACUUCUUGUGCGUUAGAGUUUCUUCUACUGCCAAGAUCACACGAAUGAAAAAUGAAUAAAAAAUUAUACCCACAACCAAGCUGCACCAUUGAGCAAAUUAUAGAAUUUUGUACAGAUCUUUAAUAACACCUUUUAGCAGUGAAGUCUCUUUUUAAAAAAUAAUAGAGGCUUUUAAAAUAAAAAAUCAAGAUGCAGAAAGCAAAAUGAAAAUAAAGAACAGAGUGCUUCCAGUAAUGAAGACAGUUAUUUCUCAUAGCAUUAUGUGAGAAGGGAGGGAGGGAGUGAGGAAAGGCAAAACUACAGCAUGAACCUAAGACAGGAUUAUUUAUUUAUUUAUUCAUUUAGUGCAGUCUGUCCCUA